rnacentral:rRNA from 1 species
AUUGAACGCUGGCGGCAGGCCUAACACAUGCAAGUCGAGCGAGCGGCGGACGGGGGAGUAAUGUAUGGGGACUGCCCGAUAGAGGGGGCUAACUACUGGAAACGGUGGCUAAUACCGCAUACUAUCGGAUAACCCAUAUGGGAUUAGCUAGUAGGUGGGGUAAAGGCUCACCUAGGAGACGAUCUCUAGCUGGUCUGAGUGGAUGAUGAGCCACAAUAGGACUGAGACACGGCCCGAAAGCGUACGGAGACAGAAGUGGGAAAGAUUGCGCAAUGGGCGGAAGUCGGAUGCAGCCAUGCGGCGUGUAUGAAGAAGGCCUUAGGGGUGUAAAGUACUUUCAGCUGGGAGGCGUUACCCGCAGAAGAAGCACCGGCUAACUCGGUGCCAGCAGCAGCGGUAAUUC